GGGUAUAUAGCUCAGUUGGUAGAGUGCUUGCCUAGCAUGCAUGAAGUUCUAGGUUCAAUUUCUAAUACCA
rnacentral:tRNA from 1 species